rnacentral:rRNA from 1 species
GAACGCGAAGAACCUUACCAAGUCUUGACAUACUGUGAGGACACAAGAGAUUGUGUUGUUCUGACCUUUGGUUAGACACAGAUACAGGUGGUGCAUGGUUGUCGUCAGCUCGUGUCGUGAGAUGUUGGGUUAAGUCCCGCAACGAGCGCAACCCUUAUAUCUAGUAGCCAGCAGUAAGAUGGGGACUCUAGAUAGACUGCCAGUGAUAAACUGGAGGAAGGUGGGGAUGACGUCAAAUCAUCAUGCCCCUUAUGACCUGGGCUACACACGUGCUACAAUGGUUGGUACAACGAGUCGCAAGCCGGUGACGGCAAGCUAAUCUCUUAAAGCCAAUCUCAGUUCGGAUUGUAGGCUGCAACUCGCCUACAUGAAGUCGGAAUCGCUAGUAAUCGCGGAUCAGCACGCCGCGGUGAAUACGUUCCCGGGUCUUGUACACACC